UUUUGUGGUUGGGGAAUGUCUCCUUUGCAGUGAUUGAUAAUGAAAACCAUGUUGAACUAGUGGCAGAUGAAGGUGGUUUAUUGGCUGUAGGUAGCAACACUCCUAUUUGAAUGAACAAUCCUAUUUAUUGCAGUUUGGACAUACUAAUCCAUACUAGCCCUCCUUGAGCUUGUUGCUCUUGAGUAUGACCUCAUGCACCUCAGUUCAAGGGUUCAAAUGCUAGUGACGGAUUGCUAAAAUUGGACAUGGUAAUCCUUGUUGCAGUGAAGAGAGAUCUGGUAGGAUUGAAGAACAGAUUGAAAUGCUUCAACAUUAUAGUGAAGACUAUUUUUGGAAGAACAGGUUAUUGGGGAACUUGGCUUGGGCAUACUUACAGCAAAAUAAUUUCAAAUCCUUGGAAGAGCAUUU